CCCUUAGAUGUUCUGGGCGGCCCGCGCACUACAAUGGCGUGUGCAGCGAGUGCCAAAGUAGAGUUUUCCGAGGUAUUCUUGCAAUGCUCGUUUUGAUGGGGAUAGACCCUUGCAACUGUUGGUUUUGAACGAGGAAUUCCUUGUAAGCAUGGUUUAUCAUCCGACGCUGAAUGCGUCCCUGCCCUUUGUACACACCGCCCGUCGCUCCUACCGAUGAGUCGUCCGGUGAAGUUCGUAGACCUCGUGAUCGCGGAUCACUGGGGGAAGCAAAAUGAACCUCGCGGUUUAGAGGAAGGAGAAGUCGUAACA
rnacentral:rRNA from 1 species